UACGUAGGUGGCAAGCGUUGUCCGGAUUUAUUGGGUUUAAAGGGUGCGUAGGCGGCCCUGUAAGUCAGUGCUGAAAUCCCCCGGCUUAACCGGGGUGGUGGCAUUGAUACUGCAGGGCUUGAGUACAGAUGAGGUAGGCGGAAUUGACGGUGUAGUGGUGAAAUGCAUAGAUAUCGUCAAGAACACCGAUAGCGAAGGCAGCUUACUGGGCUGUAACUGACGCUGAUGCACGAAAGUGUGGGGAUCAAACAGG
rnacentral:rRNA from 1 species